rnacentral:lncRNA from 1 species
GCAACCUUCGCCCCCUCCACAAACCCGUCACUGUCACUCCCCUUCCCGCGGGUUUCAGGUCUUAAGGCAAAUCCUCCUCGCCGCUGCCACUCCUCCAAGCCAUCGUAGUCUGUAACAGGUGAUCUUUCUCCCUUGAUUUUUUCUUCACUAUCCUAUGUUUCUUUUUAUUCAGUUCCCCAACUGUUUUUUAAAGUGGUUAGCAAAAGCAUUACUAAAGCUAAGGUAAGAGUUUGACCCAUCUGGAUCCACCUUCUAUUAAGUAACAGUUGACUGGAUGUAGUACGAUUUAGUUAAUGUUCAUUGUCAAUGCCGAGCAUUUCUGCAACAAUACAAUGCAUUUUUGGAGCAGUAGUGUUGAUUUGAAUGUUCGAAUUUAUUAUGAAUGUUGAUUCUUUGAUGAUUUUAAUAUAUCCAUGGCAGAAGGUAGCAAAGGUAAAUUUAGAGAAGCUUGAAAACUAUCGGUUGAUAACCUCCGUUAAGGUCGAAUAUAUUUUGUUUUAGAGUAGAACUGUCCAAAAGAAUUGUGCUCAGAAAAUUAAGCUUUCUAUGGUUUGUACAUGUUUGCUGCAAGGAUCAAAUACUAGGUAGUACCAUGCCGCAUUGAUGUCAUAUGUUGACCACCAAAAUCUGAUCUUCCUCUUUGUAAUUUCAAUCAGAACAACCUGUAGUGAAGUUAGUGUUGUGGAGAUAUGAACACAAAGUUACAAUGCUUAUGAGCUAAAGUGAUUUGGGCAAUGGAUGAUAAUCAGUUUUGCUGCAUGGUCACGUACCUGUAGAUUCUUCAAGCGGCAAUAGUUAAAGUCAUGAUCAUUUCAAAUAGCCGGGAUAAAUGUUACUACCUUAAACAUUGAUUUAUUCUUCGGUUCCUUUUUGGCUCCUGGUCGGUUCAAAUUACAAGAAUAUAUUUACUAUCAAUGGCAGUGGAAAUCACAAAAUUUUGGACCUAGCUAUGCUCCACGAUCUUCAGUACUGCCAUGGCUGCAGACAUUUUAAACGAUAGUUCCACGCUUCUGUUGUGAUAUUGUGCAAAUUUAAGUAAGCAAAGUGUAAUGGAAUGGAAUACUAAGAUUGUUUAUUGGCUUCACUCGGGUGUUAACAUUCCAUUUUGGCUCAUCUGUAUUGUUGUGCAGGAAAUAGGAUCAACUUUCAUUUGUCUCACAUGGAUCUUUGUCAUUUUAUAGCUCAUUUGCUUUUUUGCAGGGAAAUAGGUGGAUCAACAUUAAAGCAUAACAAUUAGGGAAGUUGUACAUUGCAUCACUCUUCCUUUUCGCUAUAGUUACACCGAUGCCGCCUGCUGAUGUUUUUUUUUGUAAAUAGUCUCCGAUAAGGAAGAGAUAUUCUGAUGACAUGCUUAUAGGUGAAUACUAAAUUUCUUCUCUGAACAAUUUCUCUUGCUGUAUACAAUGGUCAUCUUGGAAAUAGCUUAUGUUUUCUAGAUGUUCUUGACAUAGGCCUGCUAAUGAAUAUGACACAGUUCAACAAAUGUUAACAACUUCGGGGCACCUUUUGGUUCAUUAUUGUGACCAUACACUUGUUUAUCAGCAGGCUUUUGAUUGAAGAAUGGAGAAGAGGAUUAUAAAUCCUGGCCUGCAAUGAAAGCUUAGGAGUGUAUCAGUUAAAGCAAAAUUGGCAAGUUAAGGGGAGAGGAAUAUCUUGAUGAUGGCAGUAAGAUAGUGUGAUUGUGUAUGUCCUCCAUUUUGGUAUUUUGUCCUUCAAAUAAAUGAUGGAUUGAUUGAUUGAUUUAUUGUAGUCUAUUAUUGUCUCAUGAUCUCCUCUGUACUAAGAGA